rnacentral:pre_miRNA from 1 species
AUUUCGUCACACACCAGACCACAAGGGCUGAUGAGACUUCAAAGAUAAGUGAAGCG